rnacentral:lncRNA from 1 species
UUUAUGGAUUUUCUGGUGUAUGUGAUCGGAACAAUAACAGGAAUAGGAAAAGGGGCGGCGCAGCACUACCUUCAUCGGCCGGAAGCGUGGGAAAAGGGAAAGGGAGAAAUGGCGACAGAUCUAUUUGGAAACAAGAUGAUUCGCCAGAUUUGGGGGAAUCGGAUCUGGUUUCGGGUAGUGAUUCUGGCGACGGGGAGGGGAGAAGAGACGACAGGGGUGGUUAUCG